rnacentral:lncRNA from 1 species
CACUGGACGUGGUCUAUUCGGUCGAAUAUUAUGCAGUAAUGAAUGCUGGGUCCGUUAUAGUUUGGGAUUUGACAACCCUAGUAUUGCAAUCUGACAACUCUCAACAUACAUUGACAUACAAGCGCUAUUUGUGUUGUUUACAUUCCAUCAAAGACCAGUGUUUAUCGAUGGUAUGGUGAAUUCAAUCGAACUCAUAGAUCAUUCCAAGGCGAAUUUCGUGGAGGUCAUCCAAAAUCAGCUGUUGUUCUGGAAAUUAUUGAUGCUGUACCCAAAUUAAUAUUGCCAGAUAGUCAUGUGAUCUAUCGUGAGAUAGAGGCUACAGUGGUCAUUAGUGGGACGGACCAGUAUAGUAUUUAUACAAUAUUGCAUGGUCAUUUGACUGUAAAAAAAUUUAAGUUGAAUCUCACACAAUUUGUCGAUCACGAUAUCGCUACCUAGAAACAUGCUUAUGAUAUCGUGUCAGGUGAUGAAUCGUGGAUAUAGGCGUAUGAGCAACAAAGGUUGUUUCUAUAUGAAGCACUUCCAAGCAAACGAUCGCCUAUUUUUUGGAAAAACUGGACAUGUUGCAGCUACUAUAAAUUUAGAGUGGUACACAACCAUUUGUUCGCCGGUUGCUUUUCAAGAAAUCAGGAAAAAAAGAGCAGACGGAUCACUCUUCACUAUGCCUAUCAAGGACGUAGCCAGAUCCUGGCUACGUCCUUGAUGCCAAUGCUACAUCGUCAUCCUGACUUGGCACCGCAUGACUUCUAUUAACUCCGUACAUUCUUAAAAAGUUAACUAAGAGGUCAGCGUUUUUCAACACUUGAUGGGGCGGUUGAUGCGUAAAGAACACAAGUUUUGGAGAUACCUCAAUCAGAGUGGCAAAAGUGAUUCGAAAAUUGAGCGUAACCAUCAGAAACACACCCGGGCAACUAUAGCAUAGUUUUUUGGAAAAAACUAAUUACUGGAAAAAGGGGCAGAUAAUAAAAUUCUAAAUACCAGAUAAUAAAUUUGUUUACCUUAA